rnacentral:rRNA from 1 species
AUGGUGCAUUCGGCUGUUAAUCUACCUGAUGAGGCACUACUUAGAGGUCCAGUACAGUAUGGCUGGAUGUACCCUAUUGAAAGGCGGCUAGGCACUUUCAAGGGCUAUGUUAGGAACAGAGCUAGACCCGAGGGUUCCAUUGCAGAGGCCUACAUUGCUACAGAAGCAUUGGCAUUCUGCUCAAAAUACAUUGAAACAGCUGAUCAGCUUAGCAAAGAGGUGGGUGAAGACAAUCCUGGGCUCAAUGUUUUCGAUUAUUCUGUUCGAGUUACAGGGAAGAGUCGACAAGAGGACAAACCUAAAGAUUUGGACAAAAUGGUUUGA